rfam:Oryza glaberrima chromosome 8 Oglab08_0175_5, whole genome shotgun sequence.
AAAAAGACAAACUCUAGGUUUCCGUGUCCAACUUUGACUGUCCGUCUUAUAUGAAAUUUUUUUAUAAUUCGUAUUUUUAUUAUUGUUAGAUGAUAAAACAUGAUUAAUGCUUUGCGCGUGACUUGUCAUUUUAGUUUUUUCAUAAUUUUUUUAAAUAAGUCAGAUGGUCAAACGUUGGGCACGGAAAUCAGGGUUUGUCUUUUU